UUGUGUGGUCUCCUGCUUCCUCCCCUCAGCCUCCGCCCGUACCCAAUUUGGGGGUCACAGGGCCCACGUCAGGGUUGCGGCCCCAUCAGUGCUGGUCUAAGGAAGCUGACUCUGUCCCCUAACCCCAGCGUGGUCCCUAAGGCCCACAACCCCACCUCCCAGCUGCUCUGCAGGGUCUCUUGCAUCCCUUCCUCUUCCCCAGAGCUCCAUUGAACUGAAAUCCUCCCCACGCUCCCGCCGCCGCCAGCCCAGUGACCCGGCUCCCCUCCUCCGGGGACCUUUGCCUCUUCCUGUUCCCUCUAACCCACCCGCCUGAAUCUUGGCAGCUCUCCCAGGACAUAGUACCCCCCUUGGUAGGCUCCACCCUGCCUGUGCCUGUGCAGCCUGUACGUGUCUGGCCUCUGGCUCGCUGGGGACCAGAAACACAACGCAUCAUCUGACUGCCCUAUUUUGUCUUUUCUCUUUCUUUUCUCUCUUUUCUUUUUGCCUCAAGAACGAGGCAAGCACCUCUCUGUUCUCCUCAGAAGGAGCUCCAAACGUGGCAGGCGUCUGGCAAAAAUAUGUCCUCCUUCUCAGGAAGAAUAAUCUGUCUGGCUCUGGGAGACACCAUCCCCUCACCCGGCCCGCCCUCUCGCCUAAUCCAAGGAUUUUGCCGUGAACUUCAGGGCCUCGCAAAACGCCUUUGAUAAACGAUCACCGCUGCAGUGCUGACCUGUGAGGGGAGGACAGCAGACGCCUCCGCAUAAAUCCCCCGAGCCCGAGCCCGGCAGCUCCGAGACACACUUGCCGCUGCCGCCUGCUCCUCUACGGAUGGCUGAUCGGGCAGCAGCAACACAGCGAAACAGGGCAUCUCGCCGAGUUCUCUCCAAGCUGACACACCCAGUGGGCGCACCAGAAGUGCCACGAGUCCAGCUCCCAGCAGGGCGUGCCUGCUGUCAGGCUCCUGUGUCCCCCUGCCGAGAGUGAGGACUCACAGGCAGGACUGCAGGCGCCCAAGUUCUGACUCCGGACUUCUAGCCGCUCUAUCGAGGUACAGCCCACAGCCCCACAGCUCCCAGUCCGUGUGAGUGAAUUCACCGCAUUGUGCAGCCCCAGCGCAGCCGGUUCCAGACCGCUUUCCUCACCCGGAAGAGAAACCUCGUCCUGGUCGUCAUCCCGUCCGUCUGUCGCGCCCUCCCAGCACCUGGCACCUGGAUUCACCUUCUGUCCCUGUGGACUGGCCUGCUCUGGACGCUUUGCACCAAGGAGAUCGUGCAGCCCCGGCUCUUUGCAUCUGGCUCUUCUGCUUUUCAUAGCGUUUCCAAGGGUGGCUGGGUCGUGGCUUGAGGUGGUGCGGGCCAUGUUUGUACCGUUGAGGUAGAAGUUCACCACACGUGAUCUUGGGGUCCAACUUCCUGCUCCAUGUUACGUCUGUGAAAAUCUCCCGUUUGGGGUGCUUUGCUUUUUAUUCUGUGAUGCUGGAGUUGGAACCCAGGCCUCUAGUGUGCUGAGACUGUGCUCCACCUGAGCGCACUCCCAACCCCGCCCUGUGCUCUCGAGCAGCAGCCCUCUCUCCUGUUUGGUGAUGCACAGUGGUCCCCUGGUGGAGAGUCUGCUGUGCCUUAUCCAUUGUUGGGCUUGAGGGAGUCUCCAUCCGAAGCUGGGG
ensembl:lncRNA